rnacentral:rRNA from 1 species
UACGUAGGGUGCAAGCGUUGUCCGGAAUUAUUGGGCGUAAAGAGCCCGUAGGCGGUUCGUCACGUCGGCUGUGAAAUCCCGAGGCUCAACCUCGGGUCUGCAGUCGAUACGGGCGGACUGGAGUACUGCAGGGGAGACUGGAAUUCCUGGUGUAGCGGUGAAAUGCGCAGAUAUCAGGAGGAACACCGGUGGCGAAGGCGGGUCUCUGGGCAGUAACUGACGCUGAGGAGCGAAAGCGUGGGGAGCGAACAGG